GGUUCCACGCUGAGGUGUUCUUGUGGCACACCGCAACUGCUUUAGCUCGCAUCCCGUUCUCUCCUUCAAGCGGAACCGCGUAGACGGUCGUCAUCAUCGCCUUGUGGCAGUAGAACACUGCAAAUGGGUACUUCUGUUUGUGACACACCACCGAUUUGUCGUCAGACAACUUCUUUACCCCAGCCGCCGCGAUUUUGUACUUCUGCAUCGGUGCGUUCUUCUUAGCCACCUGUAGUAACCAAAGUUACAUUGGUUUAUAGCCAAAAUAUUAGCCACAAUAUAUGGUGUGGACAUACAAAUCAACUCGAACUAAACCGAACCAUGUGUUUUCAUGUAUAGUUAGAUUGGUUUAUAUAUGUAAAGCCAAAUUUAAACCAAUUUGAGUAUAAACGAACCACAGGAACUUAUAUAAAUUCGUGUGGUUCGUUUUUAUAUAAAAAAAUAAAAUAAAGAACUUGUAUAAAUUAAGAAAUAAUUUCUAUGUUAAACUAUCUAGAUGUAAACAUGUUUAAUAUUUCAUAAAAAUAAUUAUUAGCUAAGUACAUAGUAGCUAUUUGUAUAUGUUUUUUACACAACCUGAACCAAAUCUAUCAUAACCAAACCAAUUAAUUAGCUACAUAUUUAUUCAUAAGAAAACAAAAGUAAAUUUGACCAAAACUACAUCAACCUUAGCAAAAUUUAAAUUUAUCAUAAGAAAACCGAAUUAAGUAUAAAUAUUUUAUAUUUAGUAUUAAUCUUAUAUGUUUUCACUUCAGUCAAAACCAAACCGGUAAAAAAAACAGUGGUUAGUGUAUUUACCUCAGUGGAAACAGCCCUGACGUGAUAUUUACCAAGUUUCGAAACACUAAAGUCGACCAUCGACUCCAAAGACGUCGCACAAUACUUCUCUUCUCCACCGACUUUUUUCGCUUCACACUCGUCAAUCGUCUUCUUCAUCAUCUCCGCUUCUUCCGAACCAGCUUCCACAGAGAAACGUUUCAACGUCUCCGAAAACUUCUCCGACCCAAACGGCACCGUUUCAGCCUCUCCACGUGGCAAGAACGCAGUUUUGCCUCCGUAACCAUCCUCCGCGUUAAACCGGACGUUCAUAGCUUUUCCAGGAACCAAGUCCUUCUCCAAGAAGAAUAGAGCCGCGUUAGGAUCAUCGUGGAGCUGAGUCUCCUUUGCUGCAUAGUUAUAUACGAAAGGGUUGGCUCCUGGUUUCACACCGACGUAAAUCGGUCUUCCCUUGUGGCGCGUGUGCACCGUCACACCGCCUUUACCGACUCCUACGUCGGUUCUCUUACCGGGUUUACCCGUGUGGACUGCGACGCCACCUCCGUGACCUUUUCCGCUGCCAACGCUCACGUGUGUCCCUCCUCCGGGCUUACCCUUGCCCGUGUCCACGCGUACACCUCCCUUUCCAACGUUCACGGCGGUUUUGCCGCCGGUUUUACCUUUAUGGGUGUUAACGUUUACGCCUCCUUUACCUACUUGGACGUUGGUACUUUUCUCGUCGGUAAAAUCUGCAGAAUAAAAAAUGGUUUGGUAAUGGUAAGGACACAUUUAUUUUAUUAACAACCAAAAGAGAAUACAUUUGUUUGCUUUAUAUUAACGUAUAGAUUCAAAAAUAUGUUGAAAAAUAAAGAAAUUGUGAUAAUACAAGUCAAACACAUCUUCAUUUGCAUUUAUGUAUAUAAUUCUUUCUUUUUUUUGUGUGUCUUAAAAUGACAAAAAAAAAAACAGUUAAAAACUAGUCAAAACCAAAAUAUAAAUUCAGAACAACAUGUCAAUAUCCUAGAGGAAUUAGGAAAUAAUAUGUAUAUCUAAUAUUAAGAACAAACAUAAAGUCGGCCGGUAUAGUAAAAGAUAUUAACCAAGAGUCAAAAGAUUAUGGAGAGAGUUGGGAAUGGGAGUGUUUGGUAAAGCAGUGCUCCAAUAACGCUCAGGUGUUAAAUCAGCCGCAAUCGCUACGAC
rnacentral:lncRNA from 1 species